GAGUUUGAUCUUGGCUCAGAUUGAACGCUGGCGGCAUGCCUUACACAUGCAAGUCGAACGGCAGCACGGGAGCUUGCCCCUGGUGGCGAGUGGCGAACGGGUGAGUAAUGCAUCGGAACGUAUCCUGGAGUGGGGGAUAACGUAGCGAAAGUUACGCUAAUACCGCAUAUUCUGUGAGCAGGAAAGCGGGGGACCUUCGGGCCUCGCGCUCUUGGAGCGGCCGAUGUCGGAUUAGCUAGUUGGUGAGGUAAAGGCUCACCAAGGCGACGAUCCGUAGCAGGUCUGAGAGGAUGAUCUGCCACACUGGAACUGAGACACGGUCCAGACUCCUACGGGAGGCAGCAGUGGGGAAUUUUGGACAAUGGGGGCAACCCUGAUCCAGCCAUGCCGCGUGAGUGAAGAAGGCCU
rnacentral:rRNA from 1 species